rnacentral:rRNA from 1 species
CGGUGCGACGAACCAGAGCUUGCUCUGGGGCAAAGCCGCGAACGGGUGAGUAACACGUGGGUAAUCUACCCCGAUGACCGGGACAACCCGAGGAAACUUGGGCUAAUACCGGAUGUGGUGUACUGGCAUAAGCCGGCCCACUAAAGGUAGCCUCGGCUUCCGCAUUGGGAGGGGCCCGCGGCCCAUUAGCUUGUUGGUGGGGUCAAGGCCUACCAAGGCGACGAUGGGUAGCUGGUCUGAGAGGACGAUCAGCCACACUGGGACUGAGACACGGCCCAGACUCC